GAUGAACGCCGGCGGCGUGCCUAAUACAUGCAAGUCGAGCGAACGGACGAGAAGCUUGCUUCUCUGAUGUUAGCGGCGGACGGGUGAGUAACACGUGGAUAACCUACCUAUAAGACUGGGAUAACUUCGGGAAACCGGAGCUAAUACCGGAUAAUAUUUUGAACCGCAUGGUUCAAAAGUGAAAGACGGUCUUGCUGUCACUUAUAGAUGGAUCCGCGCUGCAUUAGCUAGUUGGUAAGGUAACGGCUUACCAAGGCAACGAUGCAUAGCCGACCUGAGAGGGUGAUCGGCCACACUGGAACUGAGACACGGUCCAGACUCCUACGGGAGGCAGCAGUAGGAAAUCUUCCGCAAUGGGCGAAAGCCUGACGGAGCAACGCCGCGUGAGUGAUGAAGGUCUUCGGAUCGUAAAACUCUGUUAUUAGGGAAGAACAUAUGUGUAAGUAACUGUGCACAUCUUGACGGUACCUAAUCAGAAAGCCACGGCUAACUACGUG
rnacentral:rRNA from 1 species